UACAGAGGGUGCAAGCGUUAUUCGGAAUUACUGGGCGUAAAGCGUGCGUAGACGGUUAUGUAAGUCGGGUGUGAAAGCCCCGGGCUCAACCUGGGAAUUGCAUUCGAGACUGCAUAGCUAGGGUGCGGAAGAGGGAAGCGGAAUUUCCGGUGUAGCGGUGAAAUGCGUAGAUAUCUGGAGGAACACCAGUGGCGAAAGCGCGUGACUGGGCCACAACUGACGCUGAGGAACGAAAGCCAGGGGAGCGAAAGGG
rnacentral:rRNA from 1 species